CGCGGGCGGAGGCUUCCGGGGCUGGGGGCGGUGCCACGUGCAGUGCCGGCGGCGCACGGCAGAGGGCGUAGAGGAGCUACCGCCGCCCUCCCGGAUCCCACGGCGCGGUCCGCGACGCCCGCCCUGCCGCCGCCUGGCCGAAGCCUCUCCAAGGCCAAGGCCACCCUCGGCCCCGCCCCGCCGCAACCGCCGCCCCGGAGUGUCGGUCGAAGAUCACCCUAGGCCCACGCCCUCUGCCCGCCCCGGACGCGCCACCCCUUCCUGGGCCUCCCUCCCUCCUUCCGCUCCAGCUUGAGGCAAAACUCACUCAAGGACAGCAGAGCAGAGGGAAUGGAGUCCUUGAGCUGCUGCAUCCAACCUCCCAAACCUGCCAUCCUACUGAACUUCUGCUAUGAGAGUCCAGAUUUAGGCUGAAGAAACAGGGCCUCUUAAGGAGGGGGGUUACCUGCAGGAGAAGUGAUGUGAACCACAAGAAACCCCUCGUGGCUAUGGAAACCAGUUGGAUGUGAUGUGCAUCAGCUCAAUUGGGAAAUGAAGUCACCUGGCCAACUCUGACUCCAAGAUUGCCAGGAGAAAGCAAAACAUCGGUGUUCAUCCCCAGGAUGAAGCAGGCUGCCUUGUCUGAGCCUGGGGUCUUCGCCAGAGGUGCACCUCAUCAAAGCCCCUGAGAUGCCCCUCCAGGGCCUGGUCCCUGCAGGAGAAACCAAGCUCUAAGGCAGAGGCAAAGGAGCCACACAGCUGCACCCUGCAAGCCUUCUGGAGUCCUUGUCAGCUGUGUCCCUCAUAAGUCAUUCAAGGAGACCUUGUGGGUUCCAAGCUUGGGUCAUUUAAGUGGUUGUUGUCGCAUAAACAUGGCUUUCCAAG
rnacentral:lncRNA from 1 species